GUGAGGUCGCCGCUCAAUCACCUACCAAGGUGAACCGGGGAACCACUGAUGCCGACCACGAGUCGCAUCCGGGGUGAAUCCCACCGGACCCUGAGGCCGAGAGGUUUUCGGGGUUCAACGGGUAGGGCCAUCUUCCGGCCCGAAUCCGACAGCUAACCCGGUCGGCGGACAGGGAAGAAACA
rnacentral:sRNA from 2 species